rnacentral:lncRNA from 1 species
GGCUCAUCGAGGGGCGGCAGGAGAGGUACUGGAGGUUCUUCAGGCAGGCAUCCCCCUUCCGUGACCAGGAGCUCAAGUUGUACGACUGGUGUUGUAACCAGGCGGGCAGUGCUCAUCUCUGCGCCCGCUACAGUGAGAAGAGACCGAAGAUUGGCUGUGACGGAUACCAGUCACCCGGUACUGGUUCCUCGGAGGAGGAGGACAGUAACUCGAAGGAGCAGGGAGAUAGAGAAGACAAGUAACUGAGGGAUUGCACAUGUGCAACAUGGCCUGGGCCACAGCUUAUUCUCCAAGUCCUUUAUUCCUGCUUGUCCCACAUCCCCCGUUCCUCCCAGCACCCAUCACCCCGGUGUCUGCAGUUACCUUCACUGGCGCAAGGUCAUUUUUCUAACCCAGACUUGUCCCAAGGAGUCCAUUGCUUUAGUCACCCUUCCCCAGCUGCAGCUGAACGGGUGCCUGUGGGCACCUCCUUGCUGGCAGGGAGCUGGGCAGGUACCCCUCACUGCACCCACCUCCCCCAUCCUCCCUACACCUGCCAUCCCCCCACGCUGGAAGCUGAGUUUGGUCCCCUGGCACCCAGGGAAUGGGUUUUGCACCUCACGUGAUUCACCUGCACCCAAGCCCCUGAGUGCUGUGGUGCACAAGGCUGACCCUGUGACCUGGUCCUGUCUUGUCCCCAACUUCUGUCCUCCAGCC